rnacentral:rRNA from 1 species
UGCCUACGGGAGGCAGCAGUGGGGAAUAUUGCACAAUGGGCGAAAGCCUGAUGCAGCGACGCCGCGUGAGGGAUGAAGGCCUUCGGGUUGUAAACCUCUUUCAGCAGGGAAGAAGCGCAAGUGACGGUACCUGCAGAAGAAGCGCCGACUAACUACGUGCCAGCAGCCGCGGUAAUACGUAGGGCGCAAGCGUUGUCCGGAAUUAUUGGGCGUAAAGAGCUCGUAGGCGGUUUGUCGCGUCUGGUGUGAAAACUCGAGGCUCAACCUCGAGCUUGCAUCGGGUACGGGCAGACUAGAGUGCGGUAGGGGAGACUGGAAUUCCUGGUGUAGCGGUGGAAUGCGCAGAUAUCAGGAGGAACACCGAUGGCGAAGGCAGGUCUCUGGGCCGCAACUGACGCUGAGGAGCGAAAGCAUGGGGAGCGAACAGGAUUUGAUACCCUGGUAGUCCAUGCCGUAAACGUUGGGCACUACGCCCGUUGCUCAUUCCACGAGUUCCGUGUCGCAGCAAACGCAGUAAUGGGAUGACUAAGAAAGAUAUCUUAGAAGAAGAGCUCAAAGAGGGAAUAAUAUAUGAAUGAAGA